GGAUAACUGCAACACUCUAUUCUUUGACCUUGCACCCGACUGCUGGGUGUCCCUGGAAGAACAUCACACCUGGACAGAUGGAUGGCACUGCAAAUGGUCACCAGGCUCCCUGCGUCCUCACUGUGCCCUGGCACACUGCCUUCCAUAGUCUCUCAGCCGAGCCUCCUUUCUCCAGGAACCUUCCAUUCUCACAGGAAAGAGGGGGAGGGCAGCUCUCCUACCUCUGUGGCCUCCCAGGCCUACCUGUGCUGCCGGUUUCUCCUGCUUCCUAAAGCUCCUCCACUGGCGCCCGCCUCCAGACUCACUUGCGUUUCUUCCGCCUUAAAAUAGCCCUCUUUGCCUCCACUACCUCCUCCGGUUACUCUCCUACAGCCAAAUUUCUCAGUGGCUUCACCCUGCUUGUCACCUCUAUUUUCUGGCCUCUGACUCGUCCCUCAGUCCUCCCCAGCCCGGCUUCCACCCUUCUCCUCCCAGUCACCAAUUGAGGGGCCAUCAUUCCAAAAUCCCAUUUUCAGUUCUAUUUUAGCCUCUCCUGGCCACUUCUGCUGUCGUUGACUCCUGCGCCUUCAUGUCCUCUCCCUGGUAAUGUGAACCAGAGUGACUGAGACUCUGGGCUCCAGGACAACACAGGGGCCCAAUGCCAGUUCUGCCCCUAAGCAUCUAACCUGAAUUCUCCUCAUGUCAAGAAGGCGGGAUGGCGGUGUUAGGGACUCAGACACAGGCGGUGAGGUGAUACUCUUUUGGCUUGGGCCCUUGACCUUUGGCCGUCUGCCUGGCUCUCUCCACCCGCGCCCGGGAGCCUUGGCUUGCCUUCUGCCUAGCUCCCCUUUCUGGGCAAGCCUGUCCUCCCUUCCAGCACUUUCUUGCCACUUCCUCAGUUCUCCUUCUAGCUCAUCCCUUCCCAGGUGAUAGAAUGGCCCUCUCUGUGUCCACAGUUCCCUAGUCAGAAGCCCAGCUGGGGACAUCCAUUCUGUAGAGCCCCGUGGAGCAAUGAUUCUGGGCAGCUGCUGUCUAGUCACUGAACAGAGGUCCCUCUCCCACAAACCCUGUGUGUAGGUGUAGGGGCAUUCCAGACCUGCCCUUAGAGUGCCUGACAGGGAUCCCAGCCUGAAGGGGUGUCAGGAAAGGCCCUGAGGAAAGGACCUCUCAGACCCAAGGACCCUUUGUGAAGUCAUUGCAGGUGAUUAUGCUUUGAAUCUAGGGGGCCACUAGUGAAGGUGUCAGAGAAAGCCUCUCUGGAGAGGUGACAUUCGAGUCAAGACCUGACCCAGGAGGAGAAUGUAGUCAGGGAAGAGCUGGGGCAUGGUGUUCCUCCAGAGGGACAGUGCAUGAAAAGGCCCAUGGUAGGACCAGGGGACAGAACAGAGGCUAGUGGGACUCAGCUUAUGGAGGCAGAGGUAGAAGGAGGGUGUGGGAUGUGGCGGGCAGGAAGGCCAGCCAGAGCAGGGUUCACAGUGACGGUGACAUCUGGCUUUGGUUCCAAGUGCAUAUCCUUCCCUCUGGAACCAUCUCUCUUGCAUGUUCUUGCUCUUAAUGAGUGACACCGCUUCUUCCCUAGUGACUGUCCUUGGUUCUCCCCACCUCACUCCCUCCACAGCCAGUCCAUCACCAAAGAUGGACCAUUCUACCUUUGAGAAAGCUUUACUCCAUCUCCAGGCCCCCAGCCUCACCUUUCACCUGACCCCCCACCCCUCCUUUGGUGCUUCUGGGCCUGUCCGUUUUACACUGGCAUCAUGGUGGUCUUUAAAAAGGGAAUACCUUGGGGCUGGGGUUGUGGCUCAAAGGCAGGGUGCUUGUCUCACAUGUGUGAGGCACUGGGUUUGAUCCUUAGCACCACAUAAAAAUAAAUAAAAAUAAACAAAAUAAAGAUAUUGUAUCCAUCUAUAACCAAAAAGUUUAAAACAAGGGAAUACCUUGUCAAGCCACUUUCCUGUUUAGCCCUAUUCCCCCACCCCAAUGCUGCUUCCCAUUGCUCAGAAAAGUCUAAAAAUCUUCCUGUGGUCCCUAACCAUGGCCUUCUGGGUUCCUGCUCUUUCUCCUACAUCUCUUGCUUCUUCCCCCUCCACUCCAUCUUCUUCCAUAUCAUGUUCUCUGGGACUUUGAAAAUGCUUUUCCCACUGGGCAUAGUGGCACAUGCCUGUAAUCCCAGCAACUUGGAAGGCUGAGGUAGGAGGAUCACAAGUGAGGCCAGCCUCAGCAAAUUAGCAAACUUCAUGAGACCAUGUCUUAAAUAAAAAAAAUAAAAAUAAAAAGGACUCAGUGGUAAAGUACCCCUGGGUUCAAUCCCCAGAAUCAAUAAAAGAAAAAAAAAAAGAAAGAACAGUUCCCCUCCUCCUGCCCAUUGUUUGAAUGGCCCCUUGUCUUCCUUUGGGUCUGAAAGAUCCCUUCAUCAGGGAAGCCUUUCCUCACACCCCUCCAGACAACUAGGUCCCUAUCAGACAUUUCCAUGGAGUCCAAGAUUGCCCUUGAUUAUCCCUUCAUGUAUUUAAUUCCAUAUCAAGUGUCCAUUCUCUGAAGUUAUAUAAGCCCUAUGAGAACAGGACCCAUAACUGCAUUGGUGUAUUGGUUUACUGGGAGUGUCUGAUGCAUCGUAGGUGCUCAAUAAAUAUGUGUUGAAUGAGUGAAUAGUUGAGUUCACAGAGAACAAUACAUGGUGGGGGAGGGCUAAGUGUCCCUGGCCUGCCUGCCCCUUGUACUUGGCCUGUCCACCCUCACUCAUCUACCCUCACCCCACAAGAUGAGGCAUAGGCUGCCUGAUGUCUUCCCAGCCCGUGUCCUGAACCACUGAGCCUCCACCCCACUUCAACUCUGUGUCCCAUCCUCUUCCUGUUCUCCCCAACCUGCUUUAUCCUCUUCCCACAGAACUGUGGGUGAAGAGAUGUUGCUCCUGGGCCUUGGGUCAUUUCCUUGACUAUCGUUUGUUCUUCUUGGAUUAUAACUACUUUCACCUUCUCUGGGAGAUGUCUGCCUUCAAGGUCUGGGCUGGGGUUGUGGCUCAGUGGCAGAGAGCUUGCCUAGCAUGGGUGAGGCACUGGGUUCAAUUGUCAGUAUCACAUAUAAAUAAAUUAAUAAAAUAAAGAUAUUGUCUCCAUCUACAACUUAGAAAAAAAAAGAUUUUUUUUUUUUUUUUAAAGAUAGCUGGGUCCUGGAUCUGGCUCCAGAGCCAGCUCGGUGGGCCAGUUCCAGCUGAUGCCAAAUUGGAAGCAGGCAGGGUUGAGUAUGCUGAAGGGCAAUACUACGGUUUGAACAUUCCUGCCGAAACUCAUGUUGAAACUUAACCUCUACUAGGAGGUAUUAAAAGAGAGUGGAAACAACCUGACUAUGAUAUUUGGGGGUGGGAGCCUCUGGGAGGUAAUUAAAAUUAAAGGAGGCCAUAAUGAUGGGGCCCUAACCCAAUGGGACUGUGGCUUUGUAAGAAGAAGAAGAGAAGAGACUUCAGCUAGGAUGUUCUUUCUCAUCAUAAUGCCCUGUGCUGCCUUGGGACUCUGCAGAGUCCCCCUCAGCAAGAAGAACCUCUCUAGAUGUGGGUGUCUGAUCUUGAACUUCCCAGCCUUCAAAACCAUAAGCCAAAUAAACCAUUAUACUUUAUAAACUACUCAGUCUGUGAUAGUCAUUAGUAGUAAUAGAAAAUGGACCAAGACAGUCUUGUUGGAGGGUUCCCCUUCCUUCAUCAAAGG
rnacentral:lncRNA from 1 species